rnacentral:rRNA from 1 species
GACGGGGGGGGCCAGUGUUCUUCGGAAUGACUGGGCGGAAAGGGCACGUAGGCGGUGAAUCGGGUUGAAAGUGAAAGUCGCCAAAAAGUGGCGGAAUGCUCUCGAAACCAAUUCACUUGAGUGAGACAGAGGAGAGUGGAAUUUCGUGUGUAGGGGUGAAAUCCGUAAAUAUACGAAGGAACGCCAAAAGCGAAGGCAGCUCUCUGGGUCCCUACCGACGCUGGGGUGCGAAAGCAUGGGGAGCGAACAGG